rnacentral:rRNA from 1 species
GAUGAACGCUGGCGGCGUGCCUAACACAUGCAAGUCGAACGAGAAAGUCGGUUUCGGCCGAUGAGUAAAGUGGCGCACAGGUGAGUAACGCGUGGAUAAUCUACCCUUUAGUCCGGAAUAACUUGCCGAAAGGUGAACUAAUACCGGAUGACAUCCCGGGUUCUCCGGAAACCGGGAUCAAAGAAGGCCUCUGCUUGCAAGCUUUUGCUGAAGGAUGAGUCCGCGUACCAUUAGCUAGUUGGUGGGGUAAUGGCCUACCAAGGUUAUGAUGGUUAGCUGGUCUGAGAGGAUGAUCAGCCACACUGGAACUGAAACACGGUCCAGACUCCUACGGGAGGCAGCAGUAGGGAAUCUUGCGCAAUGGGCGAAAGCCUGACGCAGCCAUGCCGCGUGAAUGAUGAAGGUCUUAGGAUUGUAAAAUUCUUUUCACCGGGGACGAUAAUGACGGUACCCGGAGAAGAAGCCCCGGCUAACUUCGUG